rnacentral:rRNA from 1 species
UCGAGAGGCUUCGGCAAUGGGCGAAAGCCUGACCCAGCAACGCCGCGUGAGGGAUGAAGGCCUUCGGGUCGUAAACCUCUGUCGGGAGGGAAGAAGGGUUGGAGUUCGAAUAGGGCUUCGACUUGCCGGUACCUCCAAAGGAAGCGCCGGCUAACUCCGUGCCAGCAGCCGCGGUAAUACGGAGGGCGCAAGCGUUGUUCGGAAUCAUUGGGCGUAAAGCGCGUGUAGGCGGCCAUUUAAGUCGGAUGUGAAAGCCCGGGGCCCAACCCCGGAACUGCAUUCGAUACUGAUUGGCUGGAGUCCCGGAGAGGAAGGCGGAAUUCCCGGUGUAGAGGUGAAAUUCGUAGAUAUCGGGAGGAACAUCAGUGGCGCAGGCGGCCUUCUGGACGGUGACUGACGCUGAGACGCGAAAGCGUGGGGAGCAAACAGGAUUAGAUACCCAAGUAGUCCCUGAGCGGGCUGGCAAGGCGCAU